UGGGGAAUCUUGCACAAUGGGGGAAACCCUGAUGCAGCGACGCCGCGUGAACGAUAAAGCCCUUCGGGGUGUAAAGUUCUUUCGACAGGAACGAUAAUGACGGUACCUGGAGAAGAAGCUGCGGCUAACUACGUGCCAGCAGCCGCGGUAAUACGUAGGCAGCGAGCGUUGUUCGGAGUUACUGGGCGUAAAGAGUGCGUAGGCGGCGAGCCAAGUUUGGUGUGAAAUCUCCCGGCUUAACCGGGAGGGUGCGCCGAAAACUGGUUGGCUGGAGUAUGGGAGAGGAAAGCGGAAUUCCUGGUGUGGCGGUAAAAUGCGUAGAUAUCAGGAGGAACACCUGCGGUGUAGACAGCUUUCUGGACCAAAACUGACGCUGAGGCACGAAAGCGUGGGUAGCAAACA
rnacentral:rRNA from 1 species